rnacentral:rRNA from 1 species
CCUACGGGGGGCAGCAGUGGGGAAUAUUGGGCAAUGGGCGCAAGCCUGACCCAGCCACGCCGCGUGAAGGAAGAAGGCUCUCGGGUUGUAAACUUCUUUUAAGAGGGAAGAGCAGAAGACGGUACCUCUUGAAUAAGCCACGGCUAACUACGUGCCAGCAGCCGCGGUAAUACGUAGGUAGCAAGCGUUGUCCGGAUUUACUGGGUGUAAAGGGCGUGUAGGUGGGCUGAUAAGUCAGAUGUGAAAUUCCGGGGCUCAACCCCGGACCUGCAUUUGAAACUGUUGGUCUUGAGUAUCGGAGAGGGAGGCGGAAUUCCUGGUGUAGCGGUGAAAUGCGUAGAUAUUAGGAGGAACACCAGUGGCGAAGGCGGCCUGCUGGACGACAACUGACGCUGAGGCGCGAAAGCGUGGGGAGCAAACAGGAUUAGAUACCCGAGUAGUC